rnacentral:lncRNA from 1 species
AAGAACCCCUCUAAGAAAAUGGAGGAAAGACGAUUUAGAUCCAUCUUAAGAUAUGGCUCCAGGUGGUGGUGUGGCUUGACUGUUCAUUGUGUGGGGAACAGGAGCUGGAUUUCCCACACGUGCGGGAAUUCUCCUCUUCUCAAACACACGCAAUCCGAUUCUUGAAUGCUCCAUUUUAUUGAGAUAUCGGACGGCAUAGCAAGUUCUUGCACCGGUUCCAAAAGCUCCGAAAAGCAGCAAAAUUGCUAACAAUAUGCAAGAAAGAACCCGCAUUGUUAUAUGUGGCGAUGGAUGGAUAGAGAGUGUGUAGGCUGUGAAGAAACCCAGUUGUGUUUGUCUGCUAUUUAUACAAGACAGGUAGAAGACUUUGAAGGUUUAACAUAUCCGGUCCCUUCAGUCGACCGACGUGUUCCUUUUAAUUUGUUGGUGAGAAGUUAAUUUCCACAUUCAGAUUGAUACAUGACAUGUGAUACAACAAAUACAAAUAAUACAUACACAAUUCUAUUUACUUUAGAAUUUUAUUAUCAAAUACUUUUUUAAAUUAACUAAAAAACCUGAAAAUAAAUAAAAAAACUAUAAAAAUCCUCAAAAAACUAGAAAAGAAGGAAAACAAAAAACUAACUUCAAAAAUAUUUUUUAAAUCUAUAGUUAGCCCUCUUAGAAGAUAUUUUCUAAUUCUAAUUUAAAUAAUUUUUUGACCAUAUUUAGUUAUAACGAGCUAAUCCUUUCAUAAAACUGGGCUGAUAGAAUGUCCUUGUAAAAUUUGAAUACAUUUAAUAUAUAUAUAUUCUUUUGGUCUUUGAAAGAACGCGGUAUUUCCUCAGGUCAGGUCCGUGGAUGGCUGGAAAUUAUUAGUCAAAAAGAGUUGGCUGGAAUUAAUGCUGAAAUAGCCUUUUGAAGUCAUCCCUCCAAUGACAACUAAAAACUAUUGGAUUGAGUAGCAAAUUGCUUUUUGUACUGGUUUGCCAAUUUCUUUGCUGAUAUGAUUGUAGAAAUGAUUUAAUUACCUGAAAAUUAAGCAAAUAUAACUGAUUAAACAUUUAAUUCUAUUAAAAUACAUGAUUUAGUAUAACUUUAAUUUAAAAUACUCAUAUAAAUUAAUAAAAUAAUACUUUCCACAGUUACCUAAGUUUUGAUGAACAUGCAUGCUUUUCUUUUCUUUUAACUAGAUGCAUUUCUUGUAAAUAUUAUAUUAUCAUCUCACGAACAUGAAACCAUAUUUAAGAAACUGAUGCAGGGCUGGCUUGAUCAGUCGGCAAACAGGCACAAGAAAUGUUGCUACGUAUAAAAACUGUAUCCUCCUUUGAGUCAAAGUAGUUAAAUUAUGGGUUUGAAAGCACUUUUUUUUAUAAUUUAAAUAUUAAGACUUUGAAUUGAUUUUAUCAUAAUUUUCGUAAAUUGAAUAUUAAGGUUUACACAGCAAGCAAAAAGAGUAAACUGAACGGCGGUAGACUUUGAGCUGAAUAAAUUUGGGUGUGGACUAGACAUAACUACAUUUGGGACAGUCUCUAUUAAUACAAGGCAAAGUUGGGCUCCAAUAUAUGGGCCUGUAGCCCUUCUUUCGGCUUCAUUUAUGGGCUUAUUUGAAUAUGUUUAGGCUCUAAGAUCUUUUAAACAUGUUUAGUGAAGGUAUUUUGCUGGGAAAAGAAAAAUAAACUCAGAUAGCAGGACUUUUUUUUAAAAAAAAUAUUAUUUAUCCAUGUUGUGCUCUCGUUAGGUUAAAUUUUUUAAAGAUUAUAUCUUUAUUUUUAAUAUUAAGUUAAGAAUAUAUUGGAUUGAGUUAGGUAAAUCCGGGCUAAGUCAAAUUCAUCACUCGAAUUCUGAUACUAUAAUAAUCUCAUAAAAAAUAAUCAAAACAAAUUAUAAAAUUUAAUUCCAAAUUAACUUAAUAUUGAAGAAUGAAAUUGAAAAAAAAAUAAGUAAAAAAAGACUUAAAAAACCUGAAUUAACUUGUCAAACCCGUGACCAUGUUAUAAGACGGAAACAACCCAAUAAAAAAAAAAUUAAUGUUGAAGUACUCGUGAUCCGAUUCAUGAGACCGAGAUAACCUCUUAUAUAAAAAAAAAAUACAACCCAAUUUAACCAGGGUAAAAAUACAUAACCAUACUACCUUCAUCAUAAAACCAAGAUAUUCCCAUAAAAAGCAGAUCAAAAUGACACAAGGAACAAUAUAAAUAACUUAGAUAUUGUUUGGGAAAGCAGUUAAACCAUGUAUUUUUAAAUUUUUAUAAAAAUUUAAAAUUAAUAUUUUUUUUUAUUAAUUUGAUGUAUUAAUUUUAAAAAUAAAAAAAAUAUUAUUUUAAUAUAUUUUUUAAUAAGAAUUAUUUUAAAAAACCAAAUAAUCCCGACAUCAGCAUAGCCGCCAUUAAGAACUUGAAGUAAUAAAUGUUGAGAUCGGUGAGGAUGACAAAAAUUAGAGGUAGGGACUCUAGUCAGAUACAUGCAUGCUCUUAUGCAGAUAUAUAUAUAUUAUUUUAGAAGGAUAUUUUCGGCUGAAGAUGAACUGCUCUGACUUGAAGCAUAUAACGACCAACGGCAUUCCUUCGAGUACCGCUGAUGUAACAUAAUCUGUUUGAUAAUAACCCUCUGUAAGCUCUAGAUUUUAAUGGCACAUAAAUAGAUUUCACAAAUAGAUUUUAUUUUCCUUUGAGUACCGAUAUUGCUAUCUUAAAAAGAACAAGAAAUUGAAACGUGUAAUAAAAGGAAAGAGGCAUUUGCUUAUGAUAAAUUAUUCAAGAUAGGAUAUACAGCAAGGAAAUUAAACAGCUGAGAAUUAAUACAGAAACGAAACAUUAGGAGAUCAAACCUAGUAAAGAACUAGAAAUCACAAGAACCCCUCUAAGAAAAUGGAGGAAAGACGAUUUAGAUCCAUCUUAAGAUAUGGCUCCAGGUGGUGGUGGAGGGUAUUGUGGUGUUGGACGGUAUUGUGGUGGUGCGAUUUGACCGCGCAGUCCGUUGGGAUCAGGAGGAGAUAACUGAUCUGGAAUUGGCCUCUUCUCGAACGCACGCAAUCCCCUUCUUGAAUGCUCCAUUUUAUUGACAUGUCGGACGGCAUAGCAGGUUCUUGCACCGGGUCCAAAAGCUCCGAAAAGCAGCACAAUUGCUAACAAUAUGCAAGAAAGAACCUUCAUUGUUAUGUGGCGAUGGAUGGAUAGAGAUCGAGUGUGUAUGCUGUGAAGAAACCCAGUUGUGUUUGUCUGCUAUUUAUACAAGACACAGGUAGAAGACUUCGAAGGUUUAACAACAAGUCCUCGACCAACGACGUUCCUUUUAAUUUGUUGGUGAGAAGUUAAUUUCCACAUUCAGAUUGAUACAUCACACGUGACAACAAAUACAUAUAAUACAUACACAAUUCUAUUUACUUUAGAAUUUUAUUAUCAAAUAUUUUAAAAACAAAACUAAAAAACCUGAAAAUAAAUAAAAACUAUAAAAAACCUAGAAAAGAAGGAAAAUAGCAAAACUAACUUCAACAAAAUUCUUCUAAGUCUUAAUAUGGAGAUCUUUCAUAAUAUCAUAGUUAAUUACAACAAGUUGGUAAUCCUUUUACAGAACUGUGCUGAUAAAAUAUUCUUAUAAAAUUUAAAUAUGAUUCGAUAUUCAGAUAAAAAAUUAUAAAAGAAUUAGCUUAUUGUAACUAAUUAUGAUCCAAAAAAUCUCUAAAAUAAGUUUACAUGACAAAGUUAUUUGAAAAUUUAAUUAACUCUUUUUUUUAAGAGGACAAAGCUUCAUAUUGUGAGUUAUAUAUCAAUAAUCGACAUGUCAGUUGGAAUUAAGGCAUUGAAAAACAUAUAUAUAGAAACUGACUUCUUUUGGUCUUUCAAAGACGUGUUAUUUAGUUUGGCCAAUUUUUCAUGGAGUGCAGGUCCUGUUAUUUAACUUUUGAUUUUUUGUUUUUGAUGUUUAAUAUAAACUUUAUUUGUAUAUUUGGUUUUUAUUACCAUUAAUUUAUAUCAUUUUAUAUUAUAUAUUCUAAACAAUUUCUAAAAAGAAAUAAAAAAAAAUAAAUACAAAGGGAUUUACCGACGGACUUAAUCCGUCGGCAUUAGAUAGUAGCCGCCACCAUCACCAACGAAUUUCCAGAUGGAUACAUUCGGUCGGUAUUUUCAUGACUCACCAACAGAUUUACCGACGGAAUUAUUUCGUCGGUAUUUUAACGUGCCAACGAAUUUAUAGACGAAUAUAUUUGGUCGGUAUUUCAACAAUUCACCGACACAUUUACCGACGGUUACUAUCCGUUGGUUAAUUGUUAUAUCACCGACGGAGUAGAAUCUGUCGGCAUGUUUCAAGCGGGAAACUUUUUUUUUUGGCGCUUAACUUCCGUCUGUAAAACCAUCGGAAAAUGUUUUUUUGUUUUUCCGACCGAUAUAGCGACGGAAUGAGGAAUCACCGACGAAAGGUAAGCCGACAAACGUGUUCCAUCGAUAAUUUAGUCGGUAAAGAAUUUAUCGAUGUACUCUCAAUCACCCACCGACGGAAUAUUUCCGUCGGUAAAACUGUGAAAUCUUGUAAUGUUCCACCAGAGAAUUUUAUGCGCUAUAUAAUUUAAAUUUUUUCAUAGUUUCUUUGCUUUUUAUUUGUCUAGUGUUACCCCCAUGUUGUUGGCCAUUGGAUGCCAUGAGCUCUAGAUCUAAUCGUGUUAGAGUUGGCUUGACGUGUAUUAUUUCACCAAAGAAUCCAAUCAUGACUUGGUCAUCCCAUUCAAAACUUGAUCUGGCUUUAAAAAAUAAUCAAGACCUUGCCGUUUCAAACCCCUGCCCAACUCGAUCAGGCUCAAGUGUUAAAUAACAAUAUAUAAAAGGAAAAAUUCAAAAAAAAAAAAAGAGAGUUCUUGGAGCAAAACAAAAAAAUACACCAUAUUAGAUUAACUCCUGCCAAUCUAAUUUAUCCUGUUAAAUAUGUGGUGAGGAUCAUUGCAUGAGUAUAAUAAAUUAACCUAGUUUAUCUCAAAUUUUCAGAUUUAUGCCCAAUCUUGGUGUGUGCAUCAAUAAUUUAUCUGUUAAUAUGAGCCUAAAUACUUGAAUUAAACCAUUCUUGAUAGUUGAAUGGCUCCAAAAAUUCAACAUUGCAGCCGACACAGACUUCUUUUGGUCUUUCAAAGACGUGUUAUUUAGUUUGGCCAAUUUUUCAUGGAGUGCAGGUCCUGUUAUUGUCAAAAAGAGCGUUGGGUGGAAUUAAUGCUGAAAUAGCCUUUUGAAGGCAUCCCUUCAACGGCAAGUACAAACUAUUGGAUUGACCUGCAAGUUGUCAAAUUGCUCUUUGUACUGGAUUGCCAAUUUCUUUGUUGAUAUGUUUGUAGAAAUGAAUUUAAUUACCUGAAAAUUAAGUAAAUAUAACAGAUUAAACAUUUAAUUCUUUUAAAAUACAUGGUUUGGUAUAACUUUAUUUUAAAAUACUCAUAUAAAUUUAAAAUACUCAUGCUUUAGCUUUUCGUUUAACGAGAGAAUUUUUGUCCACACAAUCACUCCACCGUAAACCAUGCAUUUUUAACUCAGAUAGAAGGCAUUUUUAAAUGCUUUUGACAAGAUAUUGCAAAUAUAACUAGAUUAUUUCACCAUGUAAAUGGGUUGGAUUAAAUUUUUCUUGAAUAUUAAAAAAUAUUUAGAUGUUUUAAUAUUUUUUUAUUGGAAAAAAAAUUCAAACCAUGUGGGAGUUUGUUUUAUGGGUUAAAAAAAACUCGAUAACCUGUAAAAUAUAAUUUGAUUGUAUUUUUUUAAAGGUAAUAUUUUUUUUUAAUGUUAAAAUAAUAAUAUAUUAAAUUAAUUUGGGUCAAUUCGUUAAGUUAAAUUCGCAAUCCGAAUUCUGAGACUAUAAUAACCCCACAAAAAAAAAAUUAAAAUAAAUUAUGAAACCUAUUUUCCACUCAACUCAAUAUUAAAAAAUAAAAUUAAAAAAAAAACUUAAAAAAACCUGACUUAAAAAAAAGUGAUGGAAGAAGACUUUGAAGAGGUAACAAGUCCUCCACCAACGGCAUUCCUUUUUAUUAAUUUGUUGGUGAGAAGUUAAUUUCCACAUUCAUAUUGAUACAUCACAUGUGAUACAACAAAUACAAAUAAUACAUACGUAAUUCUAUUUACUUUAGAAUUUUAUUAUCAAAUACUUUUUUAAAAAAAAACUGAAAAUAAAGAAAAAACUAUAAAAAUCCUAAAAAACCUAGAAAAGAGUGAAAAUAACAAAACUAACUUGGAAAAUAUUUUCUAAGUCUAAUUUAAAGAUCUUUUAGUUCAUAGUUAGCCCUCUUAUAAAAUUGAACUAAUAGGUAAAAUUUAAAUAUGAUUCAAUAGUCAAAUAAAAAUACAUGUUAUAUAUGUGUUUAUGUGUGUGUAUAUAUAUUUAUAUGUAUGUAUGUAUGUAUGUAUUCUUUUGGUCUUUCAAAGACGCGUUAUUUCCUCAGGUGAGGUCCGUGGAUGGCAAGAAAUUAUUAUUGUCAAGAAAAGCAAGUUGUCAAAUUGCUCUUUGUGCUCGUUUUUGUUGAUGUGUUUGUAGAAAUGAAUUUAAUUACCUGAAAAUUAAGCAAAUAUAACUGAUUACACAUCUAAUUCUAUUAAAAUACAUGAUUCAGUAUAACUUUAAUUUAAAAUACUCAUAUAAAUUAAUAAAAUAAUACUUUCCACAGUUACCUAAGUUUUGAUGAACAUGCAUGCUUUAACAUGAGGACUUUUGUCCACACAAUCACUCCACCGGAAGCCAUGCAUUUCUUGUAAAUAUUAUAUUAUCAUCUCACAAACAUGAAACUAUGUUAAAUUGUCUUGGCGUCCAUUUAAUGUUGCCAUAAUUGUCUUGGCGUCCAGCCUUCCCAUGGCGGCUUGAGCCUUGUGUGUUGGUGGAAAAACAACUUAGCUCAAACAUCCUUUUUUCUUCCUUUUCUUCUCUUCCCUCUAUCCUUUUCCUUCCUUGAUUUUUGUGCAAUACCUGGAAGAAAAAAGGAUUAGAGAUUAGUGUCCACGAUCCAUUUCGUUGCGAGCAGGAGCUGGAAUUCCCCCACCUGCGGGAAUAUCCCUCUUCUCAAACGCACGCAAUCCGAUUCCAAAAGCUCCGAAAAGCAGCAAAAUUGCUAACAAUAUGGAAGAAAGAACCUGCAUUGUUAUAUGUGGCGAUGGAUGGAUAGAGAGUGUGUAUGUUGUGAAGAAACCCAGUUGUGUAUGUCUGCUAUUUAUACAAGAUAGGCAGAAGACUUUGAAGGUGUAACAGCAAUUCCUCGACCAACGGCAAUCCUUUUAAUUUGUUGGUGAGAAGUUAAUUUCCACAUUCAGAUUGAUAUCGGACGGCAUAGCAAGUUCUUGCACCGGGUCCAAAAGCUCCGAAAAGCAGCAAAAUUGCUAACAAAAUGCAAGAAAGAACCUGCAUUGUUAUAUGUGGCGAUGGAUGGGUAGAGAGAGUGUAUGCUGUGAAGAAACCCAGUUGUGUAUGUCUGCUAUUUAUACAAGACAGGCAGAAGACUUUGAAGGUGUAACAGCAAUUCCUCGACCAACGGCAAUCCUUUUAAUUUGUUGGUGAGAAGUUUCCACGUUCGGAAUUGAUACAUCACAUGUGAUGCAACAAAUACCUGGAAAAUAAAAGAGAGUAGUGAAAUUAGCAAGGAUCUAGGUCAUUGCUAUUUUUUACUAGGAUGAUUUGAAUUUUAUAAUUUUGAGGGUUAAUUUUACCGGUUAGAUUUUAAAUUUGUUUUUUAAUAGUCAUGAGUUUGAAUUCUUUUAGGGUCACUGAAAACUAAUAUUGUUAUUAAUUUUAGAACCAUGUGAUUAGUUAAGGUUCGCGCAAACUGAUCUAAACAUCAUGUUAAUAAUAAUAAUAAAAAUUUUUGAAUUUUGUAACAUAAUCUGUUUGAUAAUAACCCUCUGUACAGUUGGCCUGGUGGUGCAAAUGAAUCACUUGUGUAAGUUCUAGAUUUUAAUCAGUGAAUGUAUAUCUGUUUCUUCGGUACAUAAAUAGUUUUUUUUCUUGUUUGAGUAUCGCUAUUACUACCUUAAAAAGAACAAGAAAUUGAAACGUGUAAAAAAAGGAAAGAGGCAUUUGCUUAUGAUAAAUUAUUCAAGAUACAUAGGAUAGCAAGGAAAUUAAACAGCUGAGAAUUAAUACAGAAACGAAACAUUAGGAGAUCAAGCCUAGUUGAGAAGCAGAAAUCACAAGAACCCCUCUAAGAAAAUGGAGGAAAGACGAUUUAGAUCGAUCUUAAGAUAAGCCCCCGGCCCCGGGUGGUGGUGGUGAUGGUGGUGCGGCUUGACUGUACAAUGUGUUGUGAUCAGGAGCGCCUGGAUAUCCCCCACCUACGGGAAUAUCCCUCUUCUCAAACGCGCGUAAUCCGAUUCUUGAAUGCUCCAUUUUAUUGACAUAUCGGACGGCAUAGCAAGUUCUUGCACCGGGUCCAAAAGCUCCGAAAAACAGCAUAAUAGCUAACAAUAUGUAAGAAAGAACCUUCAUUGUUAUGUGGCGAUGGAUGGAUAGAGAGGGUGUAUGCUGUGAAGAAACCCAGUUGUGUUUGUCUGCUAUUUAUACAAGGCAUGCAGAUGAUGGAAGAAGACUUUGAAGGUGUAACAACAAGUGUGUGUGUGUGUGUGUGUAGAAACUGACUUCUUUUGGUCUUUCAAAGACGUGUUAUUUAGUUUGGCCAAUUUUUCAUGGAGUACAAGUACAAACUAUUGUAGUUGACUAGCAAGUUGUCAAUUUGCUCUUUGUACUGGCUUGCUAAUUUCUUUGUUGAUAUGUUUGUAGAAAUGAAUUUAAUUACCUGAAAAUUAAGCAAAUAUAACUGAUUACACAUUUAAUUCUAAUAAAAUACAUGAUUUUUAAUUUAAAAUGCUCAUAUAAAAUAAUAAAAUAGUACUUCCCACAGUUUCCUGCGUUUUGAUGAAGAGUUUAUACCAUUUGCUUUAUUUUUUUAAUAAGAGAACUUUUGUUCACACAACCACUUCACUGUAAACCAUACAUUUCUUGUAAAUAUUAUAUUAUCGUCAUACAAACAUGAAACUAUAUUUAAGAACCUGAUUAGCCACACAUUUUAGAUAGUACUAGUUACAUGACCGCGUAAUGUCAGGAGUUAAUUUUUUUUACAUAAAAAAUAUUAAAAUAAAAAAAUAAGAUUUAAAAGUAUUAUGUCUUUCUGCAAAGCUAUACUCAAGAGUCUUGGGUUUGACUGCAACAUCUGCUCCAAGAAUAUUAUUUAUAAUAUUAAUAAUAACAUUAAACUUGCAUGACCCAAGUUUAAGUGGGUCUGGCUGCAAUACCAGACCCAAUAGCCUUGGAUAUGUGUCUGGCUGUAAGGUCAUGUCAUAAAAAUGUGAUAAUUAAAUAAAUUAAUUAAAAAAAAAAUCAAUAGAAAGAAAAAAGCUAAUGAAGAAAAAGAAAAAAAAACCUGAAUUAACUGGGUUAACCCUUUAAACCAGGUUAACCCAUUAAACCUUGGAUUUGUGUCAUGAAAGUUUGAAAACUAAAUAAAAAAAAAUUAACAAGUUAACCCAGAAUUAACUAGGCUAACCUGUCAAACCAGGUUACUCAUUAAACCCAAGAUCCGUGUCAUAAAAUUUUGAUAACUAUAUAGAAAAAAAUUGAACAUUACAAACUAAAUUAAACAAAAACAAUUAAUUAAAAUGAAAAAAAACAAAAGACAUCAGCCUUUUACUAAUGAGGAAAAAAAUCUGAAUCAACUAGGUUAACCCGUCAAACCUGAGAUUCGUGUCAUGGAAGUGUGAUAACUAAAUAGAAAUUUGUUUUUCAUAUUAAUGAACUAAAUUAAAAAAAAAAAGAUUAAUUAAAAAGGAAAAAACAAAGAGAAAAAACCUAGAGGAAGAAAAAAACUAAUGAAGAAAAAGAAAAAAAAAUCUGAAUCAACUAGGUUAAUUCGUCAAACCCAAGAUUUAUGUCAUGAAAGUCUAAUAAUUAAACAGAAAAAAAUUUAAUAUUAAAAAACUAUAGAAAACAAAAACUACAAGCAUCAACUUUUUCACCGUGGACUGCAUGGUGCAGUCCACAAUAAAAGGCUUAAAAAGAAAAGAAAAGAAAAGAAAAGAAAAACAAAGGCAUACGCCACAAGUUAUUUUUUUUUUCUUGCAUAAAAAUAUAAAAAACGGCUAAGAUCUAAGAGUGUUUGGUUUUUUUGUAAAUAUAUACUCAAAAGCCUUGGGUCUAACUCCAACGCUUGACCCAAGAGUAAUAGUUAUAAUAUUAAUAAUAUUAUUAAAUUUACAUGACUCAAGUUUAAGUGAGUCUGGCUGCAACACCAAAUCUAAGAGCCUUGGAUGUGGGUCCGGCAACAAGGUUGUGUCAUAAAAGUGUGAUAAUUAAAUAAAUUAAUUAAAAAUAAAAAAACAAAGAAAAAAAACCAACAGGAAGAAAAAAACUAAUGAAAAAAAAGAAAAAAAAACAUAUGAAUUAACUGGGUUAACCCGUCAAUCUUAAGAUAUGUGUCAUGAAAGUCUGAUAAUUAAAUAAAAAGAAAUUUAACAUUAACAGACUAAACUAAACAAAAAAAAAUUAAUGAAAAAGAAAAAAUGAAAAAAAAUUCCGGGCUAACUCGUCAAACCAGGUUAAUCCGUCAAACCCGACAUCCAUAUCAUGAAAAUCUGAUAAGUAAAUAAAAAAAAAAUUCACAUUAACAAACUAAAUUAAACAAAAAAAAAAAUCAUUAAAAUAAAAAAAACACAAAGAAAAAGGCAAAAAAAAAAUCCAUAAAGGCAUAAAAAAAUAAAGAUGAAAAAAAAAGAAUAGCUAAAAGUUUCACUGUGCAGUGCAUAAUGAAACACUGAUACAUAAAAGGCAUUGAAAACGCUACAAUAUUUCUCCACGCUUUUUAGAAUAUUGUUAAUUAAUAAUGGUAGAGUUAAUAUUGUUAAUUAAUAAUGGUAGAGUUAAUGAAUAUUUAAUAAUGUCAGUUGGAAUUAAGAGGUGUGUGUGUGUGUAGAAACUGACUUCUUUUGGUCUUUCAAAGACGUGUUAUUUAGUUUGGCUAAUUUUUCAUGGAGUGCAGGUCCUGUUAUUGUCAAAAAAAGCAUUGGCUGGAAUUAAUGCUGAAAUAGCCUUAGUAUUGAGAAAGUGACUUCAUGAGUUAAACAACUUGUAUCCACUCAAUUUUGGACGUCCUCUAUGAGCUGAGAUUUUCCCAAUUGAAGACAGCUACAUCCCCAAGGAAAGAUGCCGCUAAAUGACAAACAGGCACGAGAAAUGUUGCUACGUAUAAAAACUGUGUCCUCCUUUGAGUCUUAAUUCUAAAUUAUGGGUUUGAAAGCACUUUUUUUAAUUUGAAUAUUAAGACUUUGAAUUGAUUUUAUCACAAUUUUCGUAAAUUGAAUAUUAAGGUUUACACGGCAAGCAAAAAGAGUAAACUGAACGGCGGUCGAAAACCGACCUGCGUGUGGACUUUGAGCUGAACAUGUUUAUAUUUGGGACAAUCUCUAUUAAUACGAAGGCAAAGCAGGGCUCGCAAUAUAUGGGCCUCUAGCCCUUCUUUCGGCUUCAUUGAUGGGUUUAUUUGAAUAUUAAGUUAAGAAGAUACUAGAUUUUAAUCAGUGAAUGUAUAUCUUCUUCGUUGGCAGUUGGCACUCACUCUUGUAAAACAUAAAUAGAUCUUUUUUUCGUUUGAGUAUCGCUAUUACUUCCUUAAAAAGAACAAAGAAAUUGAAACGUGUAAUAAAAGGAAAGAGGCAUUUGCUUAUGAUAAAUUAUUCAAGACAGGAUAUCAAGGAAAUUAAACAGCUGAGAAUUAAUACAGAAACGAAACAUUAGGAGAUCAAACCUAGUAAAGAACUAGAAAUCACAAGAACCCCUCUAAGAAAAUGGAGGAAAGACGAUUUAGAUCGAUCCUUAAUACCCACCACCCCAUUUCCACACCAACAUCUCCAACUGAGACUCCCUUGAUCGCUUUCAAUAUCUCUGCCCAGAUUAAUGAAAAGCUCACUCCAUCCACCUUUCCCCAAUGGCGUGCUCAGUUUGAGGCUCUCCUUAUUGGCUAUGAUCUCCUUGAUUACGUUACUGGUGAUCAUCCAUGUCUCUCUGCCAACAACACCUCUACAUUCUCCUCUCACAAAUCUCAUUGGGUCCGGCAGGAUAAACUUAUCCUCAGCGCCAUUUUAGCCUCCACCACCACCACAAUAACUCCCUUCAUCUCAACUGCCAAAACAUCCCAGGAAGCAUGGCACAAACUGCAUACUAUGUAUGCCAGCAAAUCGCGUACCAGGGCCCUUCAACUCAAAGAGGAGCUUACCCUGAUUAAACGGGAAAAUAAAACAGUUCAGGAGUAUCUUCAUGUUGUUAAGCUCCUUGCAGAUGAGAUUGCUCUCAUUGAUCAUCCCAUUUCUGCUGAUGAUCUCACUCUCUACAUUCUCAAUGGCUUGGGAUCUGAUUUUCGUGAGAUUGCUGCCCCGAUCCGUGCUCGUGAAAAUCUCUCACUUUUGAGGAGCUUCACGAUCUGCUUGUCAGUCAUGAGGCGUAUCUCCGCUGUCUUGAAACUGCCACUCAACACCUGGUGGCCACGGCUAAUUUUCUAGUCGCUCUGGUGGGCAUCGGCAGAAUAUGACUUCUUCACAUAAUUCCCAGGGCUCACGGGGAUUUAACAGAUUUAAUGGCAAUCGGCUUCCAAAUGCUUCACAAAACAGAAAACCACCCCCUAAUGGUUGGAAGUCUAUGGGUCCACGUCGGUAUCAGCCAAAAUGCCAGCUGUGUGACCAACUUGGUCAUGUUGCCAAGCAAUGCCCAAAAAUUAAUUUUUCGGAGCCCACUGCCAAUUGUGUAUCCACCUCUCACCAGCAGGACACGAAAUGGUUAAUCGAUUCCGCUGCUUCUCAUAACAUUACAGGUGAUUUGAAAAACUUAUCAGUCCACUCGGAGUAUGACGGCACUGAUGAAGUUAUUAUUGGUGAUGGUUCAGGUUUGCGUGUCUCACAUAUAGGUUCUUUGGUUUUUCAUUCCCCCACUCGUGCCUUUCAUUUAAAAGACACGCUUUGUGUCCCAAGUAUUCAGAAAAAUUUAAUUUCUGUCCAUCAUUUCACUACCCAAAAUAAUGUGUUUGUUGAAUUUCACCCUCUUUACUUUGUUGUCAAGGAUCAGGUCACGGGGGCGAUACUUCUCAAAGGUGCAUGUGAAAACGGUGUGUAUCCAUUUCCGGACUCAUUGGUGGACUCUUCAUCCAAAUUUUUGGAAAAUGUGCAUGAGCGGACGACAAUUGAUGGGUGGCACAAGCGACUUGGACAUCCCUCUUCUAAAAUUGUAACGACUCUUGUUCGUUCUUUUUCUCUUCCAAUAAAAAAAGACACUCACGAGGCAACACUUUGUAGUUCCUGUUCUAUCAAUAAAGCCCAUCAACAACCAUUCCAUUCCACAAGUCUUCAAACUCAUGCCCCUCUUGAUCUUAUUUACACUGAUGUUUGGGGCCCUUCUCAUGUUACUGGUCUUGAUGGGUCCCGCUACUACUUACUUCUAGUUGAUCAUUUUACCAAAUAUAUGUGGUUUUACCCCAUGGUUGCCAAGUCCAGCGUUAGUAGUAUCUUUCCUCAAUUUAAACAUCUGGUUGAAACAAAAUUCCAAGGUAAAAUAAAGUCUGUUUACUCGGACAAUGGUGGUGAGUUUGUGGCCCUUAAAAAUUAUUUUUCCGUCCAUGGAAUAAGUCAUUACACCACCGCUCCUCACACCCCCCAACAAAACGGGGUUGUCGAGCGACGUCAUCGUCACCUAGUUGAAACCGAUCUCAUACUACUCAAAGAUGCUGACUUGCCACUUUCAUAUUGGCCUUACGCAUUUCAAACCUCCGUGUAUCUCAUCAAUCGUCAACCCACCACUAUUUUACAUAAUAAAUCACCAUUUGAAAGUUUGUUUAACCAAUCACCCAAUUAUCUCAAAUUAAAAAAAUUCGGUUGUCUGUGUUUUCCUCUCACCCGACCAUACAACACUCAUAAGCUCCAACCCAAAGCUUGUCCUUGUGUUUUCUUAGGCUACUCCCAAACUCAGAAUGCUUACCGGUGUAUGGACUUACAAACCAAAAGGCUUUAUGUUUCACGGCAUGUUCUGUUUCAUGAAAACCAAACGACCAUCUCUUCCUUUCCUACAACCACACCUGGUCCUUCAUCGCAUCGCCUCUCGUGCCGCUGCCACCACCAGUGAGAAUGGACGGUGCCCCUGCUUCAUCAUCACCUUCAGGUAUUUCCCCUAAUUUCUCAUCCUCCAGUUUACCUAAUUUUCAGAUUUCAUCUAUUGAGCCUUGUUCCCCUGUCCCGUCCCCUGUUCUCUCACAACCUUCACACGGCCCAUCCCCUUCUCCCCCUGCCUCCACAGCUAACCCAUCCACCGAACACCCCUCUCAUACUCACUCAAUGAUCACACGAUCAAUGAACAACAUUUAUAAGCCCAAGCAAUUCCAUUCCGUUUCCAAGCACCCUAUUCCCUCUGCCAUUGAACCUACUUGUGUGAGUCAAGCAAUUCGUGACCCGAAAUGGCGCAGUGCUAUGUCUGAUGAGCUAACAGCUCUCAUGCGCCACCACACGUGGGAUUUAGUUCUCCCACCUCCUCACUGCAACCCCGUGGGUUGUAAAUGGGUGUUUAGGGUUAAACGGAAUUCUGAUGGGUCGGUGGAUCGAUUCAAAGCACGUCUCGUUGCUAAGGGCUUUCAUCAACGCGCUGGGUUAGAUUACAAGGAGACCUUCAGUCCGGUUGUAAAACCGGCCACCAUCCGUACUGUUCUUACCAUCUCUGUAAUGCAAGGGUGGUCCUUGCGUCAAUUGGAUGUGAACAAUGCAUUUUUACAUGGGAAAUUGAGUGAAGUUGUGUUUAUGGUUCAACCUCCUGGCUUUAAAGAUUUGUCAAAAUCGAAUCAUGUUUGCAGGUUACAUAAGACAAUCUAUGGUCUGAAGCAGGCGCCACGAGAAUGGUAUUCUGCUCUUAAGACAAAAAUUAUUGCACUUGGGUUUACAAAUUCAAAGGCUGACAGUUCUCUUUUCAUAUACAAUAAUGCCUCUGUCUUGUGUUUUUUAUUGGUUUAUGUCGAUGAUCUGAUCAUCACUGGCAGUGACGGUUUGUUUGUGAAUUCCAUCAUCGAUCAGCUUGGAGUUGCAUUCUCUAUCAAAGAUAUGGGAUCUCUUCAUUUUUUCCUCGGCAUGGAAGUAAUUUCAACCACAGAUGGCCUCUUUCUAUCUCAGCACAAAUACAUCCAUGACAUGCUCAGCAAUACCAACAUGCUUGGUGCCAAGGAGGUGUCCACUCCCCUGUCCACCACCGUUGCUCUUCAACUUCAUGAUGGCACCUCCUCUGUGGACAGCACCGACUUCAGGCGUGUUAUUGGUGGCCUUCAGUACCUCUCUCUCACGAGGCCUGACAUAUCAUUUGCAGUCAACAAAUUGUCCCAAUUCAUGCAUAAACCCACUACUACACACUGGACAGCGGCCAAGCGACUUCUCCGCUAUUUGAAACAUACCAUUCAUCAUGGCAUCCACAUCAAAAAAUGUUCUCGCUUGGACCUUAUGACCUACACCGAUGCUGAUUGGGCCGGCAAUUUAGAUGAUCGCAGCUCAACCUCUGCCUAUAUUUGUUUCCUUGGCUCAAAUCCGAUUUCCUGGAGCUCCAAAAAACAGCGGGCUGUUGCCAGAUCCUCCACAGAAGCGGAAUAUAGAGCUCUUGCCAAUGCUGCGUCUGAAACCAUCUGGUCUUUAAAGAACUUGGACUACCUCUUCCUUCCCCGCCAACACUGUUGUGUGACAACUUGGGUGCUACUCAACUCAGUCUCAAUCCUGUGCAACACUCUCGGAUGAAGCAUAUUCAAAUUGACCUGCACUUCGUUCGGGACAUGGCUCAGCAAGGCAUGCUAAAAGUUCAUCAUGUACACAGCCACGAUCAGUUGGCUGAUCUCCUCACCAAGCCCUUGUCUGCUCAGCGGACUGAGUAUCUUAGAACCAAGAUUGGCCUUGCUAAUGGCAGCCCUAUCUUGCGGGGGCGUAUCAAGGAUUAUCCCACUGAUCCUGCAUCAGAUCACUCCAACGACUCUGCCUCAAUUCAAAUCCCAGAAGACUAGCCAAAAAUCAAGGCUACCAACGGUUACAAUCUUCACUGCAGCUAGUCAACGGUUACAAUCUUCACUGCAGCAAUUACGGUUACAAUCUUCACUGCAGCUAGCCUUCCUAAAAUAAAUGUUCGAUUCUAUGUGUAUAUAUAUACAGCUCUCAAUUACUUGUAAUGUGUGUGGAAAAUAAUAUAUCCAUCUUCAAAAACGUAGUGUGUUUUUCAUUCAAUAUUUAUCACAUUGGACCAAAGGAGUUGCCACAAGUUAAACCAAACGAAUGAACUUGAUAGGCGUUUAAAUUUCAGAGCACCGGUCCACGCCUUGGAGCAGGCUGAGGUGGUGGAGGAGCUGAUGGUCGUCGUAAUGCCAUAUUUAUUUGCAAUCUCUUCAACUUGUAACCAGUGCCAUUGUUAGAAGGAAUAGCACCGAAAGCCAUCCCUAAAACAUGCGAGAAAACCAAGGUGUAGAUGAAGAUAAACUUGAGUAAACAAGAAAUUGCACCCAUCGGAUAUGAAGCAACCUUCUUGUUUCAGAGACCAACUGAUCAAUAAUCCUUUCUUCAUAACUCGAUUGAAUCACUAUACAGUGAAACCUGACCACUCAGUACUGUCAUUGUCGAUCUAGUGGUUGAAUUAAGAUAAAGAAGAAAUUGUAGAGCAGUCAAGACUUUUUUUUUUUUUUGUUAAUAGUCGAAAUUUUAUUAAAAGGAAAAAGCUACAAAGAUAGUAGCCUAACUUACAUCAGAAGAACAAACAGAGGAAAGGGAAGCACAAAAACUGUUGCAUGAAACAGGGGAUAGCAACAAAAAGAGAACAGAUAAAUCAAAAGAAACCAAACUCCUCCCGACUAAACAUUCUCUAUAUUAAGCUCGAAAGAGUUGGAGUCAAGCCUCAGCCAUAAAGCAAUACUUUGGCGCACCAUGGAGAAACAGAUUUGAAGGUUAGGGGCAGCGUCAUUAAAAAUAACAUCAUUUCGAUGAAACCAAAGAUUCCAAACAACGCAUGAGAAAAGAAGUUGCCAUGAGAGAUUUUGUUGCUUGCUUUUAACCAUAGAAGACCAUUGGUAGCACAUAUCAUCAACAGAUUUUGGAAAAACACUGCAAAAGCCCCGAUUAGAAAGCAGUUUCAUCCAUAUAUUCCAAGAGAAGUGGCAGUGAAUGAAGAGGUGACUUGAAGAUUCCAAGCUUUUAUUGCAGAAAGCACAUCUUGACUCCUGGAAAAACAUUGGGCUUAAUAAAAUCUGUUGAUCCAAUAACAACGACCAUGAAACAGUCGUGGGUUCCUUAAUUUCUAAAAAUUUUAUGUACUCAACUAUAUAGAGAAAAAACUUUAUAACCCUUUACUAUAAGAAAAUUUUAGACAAAUCACUUGUAUAUUUUGAAAACCAAUAACAUAAAAUUCUCUUCUGUCAAAAAUAGUUUUCAGGGUUGUUUAUGUAUAUUAAAAAAGUUAUAAUUAGUAAAAGCCUAAUUAAAUUGAAAGUUCCAAACUAAAUAGAAAAACAUUAAUCCAAAAAUAACAAGAAUAAAUAAAUAAAUAAAUUUCCAAAAUAGUAGGUUCCUAGCCUAAUUUAGUUUAAUCCAUCGGUUAAAUCCAAAUUUAUAAUUGAACAACACAUUGGGCUUGUCUAGAACUCCUGACAACCUAUAAAGUUUUAACGAUUAAAAAAGUGAUAUAAUAAAAAUAAUGAUGCCAAGAAUGAUGCAAAAAUUAACGACCUCGGACUAAACUCUUGUAUCUUGAAUAACGACCAGCGCUUUCAAUGUUGCUGGGAAUGAGAAACAAAUAUUUUUCCUGGAAUAUGUUGAAGUCAUUGAUGUCGAUAGCAAAAUUAGUAUAAUAUGACAUUAUCUUCUUCUUCUUCUUGUUUUAUUUUAUUUUAUUUUAUUUUAUUAAUGAGUUAUAAAGUCUUGACUGCUCUAUAAUUUCUUCUUUAUCUUAAUUCAGCCACUAGAACGACAAUGACACUGAGUGGUCAGGUUUCACUGUAUAGUGAUUCAACCGAGUUAUGAAGAAAGGAUUAUUGAUCAGUACGUUGGUCUCUGAAACAAGAAGGUUGCUUCAUAUAUAUCCGAUGGGUGCAAUUUCUUGUUUACUCAUGUUUAUCUUCAUCUACUCCUUGGUUUACUCGCAUGUUUUAGGGAUGGCUUUCGGUGCUAUUCCUUCUAACAAUGGCACUGGUUACAAGUUGAAGAGAUUGCAAAUAAAUAUGGCAUUACGACGACCAUUAGCUCCUCCACCACCUCAGCCUGCUCCAAGGCGUGCACCGGUGCACUGAAAUUUAAACGGGUGACUCAAGGCGGUCGACACGCCUAUAUAUAUAUAUAUAUAUAUAUAUAUAUGUUCAUCCUCUUCUUGUUUCUUUCUUUAUUCUUUUCUUUGCCAAUUUCUUUGCUGAUAUGUUUGUAGAAAUGAAUUUAAUUACCUGAAAAUUAAGCAAAAAUAACUGAUUAAACAUUUAAUUCUAUUAAAAUACAUGAUUCAGUAUAAAUUUAAUUUAAAAUACUCUUAUAGAUUAAUAAAAUAAUACUUUCCACAGUUACCUAAGUUCUGAUGAACAUGCAUGCUUUUCUUUUCUUUUAACUAGAUGCAUUUCUUGUAAAUAUUAUAUUAUCAUCUCACGAAAAUGAAACCAUAUUAACAAACUGAUGUAGGGCUGGCUUGAUCAAUUCCAAAUGGCAAACAGGCAUAAGAAAUGUUGCUACGUAUAAAAACUGUAUCCUCCUUUGAGUCAAAGUAGUUAAAUUAUGGGUUUGAAAGCACUUUUUUGAAUUUGAAUAUUAAAACUUUGAAUUGAUUUUAUCACAACUUUUGUAAAUUGAAUAUUAAGGUUUGUGUGUGGACUAGACGUAAUUACAUUUGGGACAAUCUCUAUUAAUACAAAGGCAAAAUAGGGCUCCAAUAUAUUUAUCCAUGUGCUCUCGUCAGGUUAAAUUUUUUUUCAACAUUCAAGAUAUUGCUAAUAUGUUUUUUUUUUAAAAAAUUUAAACUUUAUGAGGGUUGCUUUACAUGUCAAAAAAAACUUGAUAACAUGUGAUAACAUAAUUUAACUACACAUUUUUUAAAGAUAAUAUCUUGUUUUUAAUAUUAAAUUAAAAAUAUAUUGGAUUGACUUAGGUAAAUCCGGAUUAAGUUAAAUUCGUGAUCUAAAUUCUGAUACUAUGAUAAUCCUAUAAAAAAAUAAUCAAAAUAAAUUAUGAAAUUUAAUUCUCAAUCAACUCAAUAUUGAAGAAUAAAUUGAAAAAAAAAAUAAGUAAAAAAAGACUUAAAAAACCUGAAUUAACUUGUCAAACCCGUGACCACGUUAUAAGACGGAAACAAUCCAAUAAAAAAAAAUUAAUGUUGAAGUACUCGUGAUCCGAUUCAUGAAACCGAGAUAACCUCUUACAAAAAAAUAAUAAUUAAAAUACAACCCAAUUUAACCAAGGUAAAAAUACCUAAACAUACUAUCUUCAUCAUAAAACCAAGAUAUUUCCAUAAAAAACAGAUCAAAAUGACGCAAGGAAAAGUAUAAAUAACUUAGAUAUUGUUUGGGAAAGCAGUUAAACCUUGUAUUUUUAAAUUUUUUUUUUUUUUAUAAAAAUUUAAAAUUAAUAUUUUUUUUAUUAAUUUGAUGUAUUAAUUUUAAGAAUAAAAAAAAUAUUAUUUUAAUAUAUUUUUUAAUAAGAAUUAUUUUAAAAAACCAAAUAAUCCCGACAUCAGCAUAGCCGCCAUUAAGAACUUGAAGUAAUAAAUGUUGAGAUCGGUGAGGAUGACAAAAAUUAGAGGUAGGGACUCUAUGCCAGUUGCUAAAAAAGACUAGUUAUUUGCCUUGAUGCGAGAAUACAUGCAUGCUCUUAUGCAGAGAUAUAUUAUUUUAGAAGGAUAUUUUCGGCUGAAGAUGAACUGCUCUGACCAACGGCAUUCCUUUGAGUACCGCUGAUGUAACAUGAUCUGUUUGAUAAUAACCCUCUGUAAGUUCUAGAUUUUAAUGGCACAUAAAUAGAUUUUAUUUUCCUUUGAGUACCGCUUUUGCUAUCUUAAAAAGAACAAGAAAUUAAAACCUGUAAUAAAAGGAAAGAGGCAUUUCCUUAUGAUAUAUUAUUCAAGACAGGAUAGCAAGGAAAUUAAACAGCUGAGAAUUAAUACAGAAACGAAAUAUUAGGAGAUCCAACCUAGUUGAGAACUAGAAAUCACAAGAACCCCUCUAAGAAUAGGGAGGAAAGACGAUUUAGAUUGAUCUUAAUAUAUGGUUCCAGGUGGUGGUGGACGUUGUUGUGGUGGACGCGUUGGUGGAUGUUCUUGUGGUGGAAGAUCACGGCCGCCCGGUAUUCUGCUGCGCGGUGAUCUGUUGGGAUGAGGAGGAUAUACCCGAUAUUUGGGAAUAUACCUCUUCUCAAACGCAUGGAAUCCGAUUCUUGAAUGCUCCAUUUUAUUGACAUAUCGGACGGCAUAGCAGGUUCUUGCACCGGGUCCAAAAGCUCCGAAAAGCAGCAAAAUUGCUAACAAUAUGCAAGAAAGAACCUGCAUUGUUAUAUGGGGCGAUGGAUGGGUAGAGAUCGAGUGUGUAUGCUGUGAAGAAA